rnacentral:tRNA from 1 species
AGUAGGAUCAGCUAAAUUAAGCUUUCGGGCCCAUACCCCGACAAUGUUGGAAACAUCACUCCCGCUCCUA